GGAGGGAUCAUUAAGGCUUACUGCUUGAAGCGAUCAGGUGCUGGGGGCUCUCUCGCAGAGUCCUCGGCUCAUUUGUGCGUAGUUUAAGUUUGUCCCGAUAUGUUAUACGAGACCGAUAUACACCUCGAAGAGACCUGCGCAGCUCCGCUGUAAAGGUUUGCUUGUAAUUACGUUUAUGACCCUUAACGAUGGAUGUCUCGGGUUUGAGAUCGUUGAAGAGCGCAGCAAAGCGCGAUAGUCGAUGUGAUUUGCAGAACAUGUGAUGCAUUAGACUCUUGAACGCAUGUGCGCCUGCUAUGCCUCGUAUAGCAGGCAUGCCUGGUUGAGUGCCAACCAACCCUUCCACUCGCCCUCGCUAACACGGGGGCAAGUGGCUGAUGGGAGAGCCUUACUACGAGGCCCUCUUCAAGUGCAAGAUACGUGUUCGACUUGCGUGCUAGCUGACGGAUAGUCUCGAUGGUUUGUCUCGAAGGUUUGUCUCGCUGGUUUGUCUCGAUGGUUUGUCUCGAUAGAGCAGCACAAGCAGCAGGUUUGACUCGCAUCACGCUACGAGCGUGCCUGUUUCCCUGGAUUGACCCCGAAGGUUUGGCCUCGAAGGAUUGAACUCGCGCAGGAAACAGCCAUGUUAGUGCGUAACACCCCUUUGGCCUCGACUCAGGCAGGACCAUCCGCUAAACUUAAGCAUAUUAUUCAGCGGAAGAAAAGAAAACAACCGUUAUUUCCCUAGUAACUGCGAGUGAAUAGGAAGGAGACCAAGGUGAAUCGACGAGGCCAGCUCCUCUGUCGAGUUGUACCCUGAGGAUCAGCGUCGGUGCUCGAUCGUUCCCCAAGUUAGCUGGAAAGCUACGCCUUAGAAGGUGACAGCCCUGUGGGGGAGCGAAGGUAUCGGGUAUCAUCAGCUGCAUCUACGAGUCGUACUGUUUGAGAGUAUAGUACAAAUCAGCAGGUAAGCCCCUGCUAAGCCUAAAUAUGGCUCAAACACCGAUAGCGAACAAGUACCACGAGGGAAAGAUGCAAAGAACUCUGAAAAGAGAGUUAAAAGUACCUGAAAUCGUUGAGGGGGAACCGGUGGUGACGCUCGAGUUGGGGGAUCGAAUCACUGCUCCGCUGGUGAGGCUAGGUUGUCGCUGGGUGCCUACGGGUACUCAUCACGGCGGCUGAACCGAGCUAGUAGGGCAGGCACUUCGGUCUCUCGCAUCCAUUAUCCCUGCGCGCUGGGACUGUUAGGUCGGAACGAUGCUGCGGUUCGCUGCAGGUUUAAGUCUGGCUGAAACGGCCCGGCGUUCUGGGAGGGCAAAGAGGCUGCCCUGCGUAGCGUGCGUUCGCUGGCUGGCUGCUGCAGGUGCACAUCCUAGAUGUGUGCUUGUAGUGGCUGGCGUGUGCGGGCGCUGCUGCUAGCCUCUGCUGAUAAUGGGGAGAUCAUCACCGACCCGUCUUGAAACACGGACCAAGGAGUCUAACAUGUGUGCGAGUCUAAGGGUGGCAAACCCGAAGGCGCAGCGAAAGCGAGAGUAGCGAGAUGCUGUUGGUUACGAUCGAUGGUUGCAUCGCAGGCCCAGCCCGGGGUUCGUCCUCGGGCCUGGAGUCGGAGCGUGCCUGUUAGGACCCGAAAGAUUGCGAACUUUGCUUGCAUAGGGUGAAGCCAGACGAAAGUCUGGUGGAGGCUCGUAGUCGUACUGACGUGAAAAUCGUUGAUCAAAUGUGAGUAAAGCGGCGAAAGACCAAUCGAGCAGUCUAGUAGCUGGUUCCUGC
rnacentral:misc_RNA from 1 species